rnacentral:rRNA from 1 species
GUGGCGGACGGGUGAGGAACGCGUGAGAACCUGCCCCAAGGUCAGGGACAACAGUUGGAAACGACUGCUAAUACCGGAUGAGCCUUCGGGUAAAAGAUUUAUCGCCUAGAGAGGGGCUCGCGUCUGAUUAGCUAGAUGGUGAGGUAAAGGCUUACCAUGGCGACGAUCAGUAGCUGGUCUGAGAGGAUGAGCAGCCACACUGGGACUGAGACACGGCCCAGACUCCUACGGGAGGCAGCAGUGGGGAAUUUUCCGCAAUGGGCGAAAGCCUGACGGAGCAAUACCGCGUGAGGGAGGAAGGCUCUUGGGUUGUAAACCUCAAAACUUAGGGAAGAAAAAAAUGACGGUACCUAAUGUAAGCAUCGGCUAACUCCGUGCCAGCAGCCGCGGUAAUACGGAGGAUGCAAGCGUUAUCCGGAAUCAUUGGGCGUAAAGAGUCCGUAGGUGGCACUUCAAGUCUGCUUUCAAAGACCGAAGCUCAACUUCGGAAAGGGAGUGGAAACUGAAGAGCUAGAGUAUAGUAGGGGUAGAGGGAAUUCCUAGUGUAGCGGUGAAAUGCGUAGAGAUUAGGAAGAACACCAGUGGCGAAGGCGCUCUACUGGGCAUAUACUGACACUGAGGGACGAAAGCUAGGGGAGCGAAAGGGAUUAGAUACCCCUGUAGUCCUA